UACUUUCUCAGGCAUUGUUCUGAGUUUCAAUAGAUUUGACAUUAUGUACUACUUUUUAAAAAAUGCUUUUUUACGUAACAGAUAUUAAUAAACACUGGAUUUAUGUACCAAAUCUCUAUUAUGAAACAAUUCUAUGUUUGGCAACAAACAGCACGUUGAUCUAUUACGCACGCGCAAUCGGCAGCUUGUUACAUUGACUUCUAGGAGUAUCCCUACCAUUGUAAGUGAAAUGUUCCACAAAAUUCUGUAUAUCGCUGAUAUAUCUCAAGAGAAGUAAGGAAAAAGAGCAGUACAAAAAUGUUUGCAUGGGGCGUGGUAAAGCAGUUGAUAUUAAGUAUAUUUUGUAUGCUGCCUUGUAAGAGUCUGAUGUAAGUUAAAAUGAUAAGGUGAAAAAUGCGCAGACCUGCGCAGAACUCACUUGUCGAUUCGCAGUGUCGCAAAGAAUCUUCCCGCUUUGCUACGAUGAGGUGAAUAUGAACGCAAUAGCCGAGUUGUUCCGACAUCGUCCGAACCAACGAAAUUUCGUUUAUCGUUACUGUAAUACUGACGAACAUCGUCAGUACUAGCGUAUGCGGAACUGGUACUGGACGAAGACAUUUGAUCUGCUGAUUAACCUUCGCGCGGCCAAUCGUCUAGCGCAUAAAUACAGCGUCUAUUCCGAGUAUGCAAAGAAAUCGCUAUUUAUGCAGAAAUGUCCACUAUAGCAUUCACAGUCUGGAUUUAACGUGCAUGUUUAUCUGGAUUGAUAAAUUCUGAGAAUUCGAUUGAGCUCACGUCGAGACUCCAUUUCCAAGAAUUAGCGGGAAUAUUCGGAAGCUAAAUUCGGCAACAGGUAAAAUGGACGAAAGUCGGAACGUAAAGCGGAACUUCUGUAUCUCGCUAAAGCGAGACUUUUGUAUCUUAUCUUCCCGCGCAGACGUACAGACAUUGUCCCAUCGCUCUGUAGUUGAAACAGGAGAGUAGGAGAAGUGAAAAAACUUUUAUCGUCGUUACUUCGAGACAAUUAUCAACGGAUUUGUUUAAAGACUGUAUUUGUUCUUCGAGGAAUAUCGAAAUCAUACGUUGGCGAAAUCAACGAACGAGGUUUGCGUACAAGAACAAGCAGUCAACUACCGGUGAUAUACCAGCGAGCAAGUUACACUAUUGUACUAAUUAUUAUACUCCAAAUGAUGUAGUAGAUGAUUGUACUGAUUCCCGGCAAAUGUCAUGGAAAUUACCGACAUGCUUUUUGUUUUUAUAUUGAGCAAUGUCCUAAUCGUCACGUCGACAUUCGAAUGUUCAGCAAAUAAUAAAUAUUGAAAGGAGAUCUCGAUCGUCCAUUACGUCGUCAGAGAAACGGAGAAAUGAAAUACAAAAUCGAUGAUCGAUGAAAUACAAAAUGAUCCUAGAAUUUUAACCGUAUUAGAAAUGGUCCAUUUGAAUCCACAUCGAAUGAACCAUUCCUAGUGGAUCAAAAUCCAGGUAUCGAAUGUGACAACACAUUCAAUAUCAUGUUUACCGCGUCAAUCUUGUACAGUUGAACGAUACAGACUACAGAUUAAUAAUUCGAUUUUGUAGAUGGGCACUUGAUAAUUUAUAACAGACCAAAUUCCUUUGAAAUGUCUGUUUCAACGACAAAGCGACCUUUCAUAGCAAUAGGUAUCUCAAUUGACAAAAUUGUCAUUAUUAGUUACCUGUACAACCAUAUUAAUCCUGACAUGUACUCAAUUAACAUCGCUGUAGCUUACAUGUUUGGGUUGGAAUAUUGAAUGGCCAAGUUAUCGAAUCGCAUUUUUUCGGAUGGACUAUUAACUGUCCAAUUUAUUCAGAUUUUCUCCGAAACUUUUCACCAGGAUAUAUCUUGACGCUUCCGCAAGAUAUUUUACAGAGAUCAUGGUUUUAGCAAGAUAUUUCGUUAGUGUCUCCAUAGGAUUAGGAUAUUCCUUGGUGUGAAAUAAGUCCAUGAAUAAGGACCAGUUUUGUGGCUUCUGAGCUUAUCGAAUCUUAAUCCGCUUAAUUUCUACUUAUGGAUUAUGUGAAAAGUGCUAUGUAAAAGAAUGUCGUGAACAUGUAACAUACACAGGAACAUGUAUUUAAAUCAAUACGAAUCUUCUGCAUUUUAUUAGUCAGUUAUCAUCACCAGCUACACAGUUUUCUUUGAAACCGUCGCAAUAGUAUGGUCCAAAUUGAAAACAAAAACGUUUUGAAUAAUUUAAGUUGAUCUUCAUUUCGAAAAUCCCAUUUCCAUAAUCAAAUAGCUGAAAAGCAGAAGGCCAAGUUGAAAAAUUGAUAAGAACAAAAAAUGUUUAUUUUUGUUCUUCUUUUUAUUUUUAGCAAUAAUCUUAAUUUCCAAAAUACUUAAAAUAUUCUCUUCGUCACAUUAUCUGUUUAUCACAUCGUUAAACCAACAAAAAGAUGUCUACAUGAAUACAAUUCUUAAGGCUGGGAAUCGUUUGUAUACAGGUCAUUGUAACGUAUAGAGAUUUUUCAAGUUGUACAUCGAAC